AUCGAACGCUGGCGGCAGGCUUAACACAUGCAAGUCGAGCGAGCGGCGGACGGGUGAGUAAUGUCUGGGAAACUGCCUGAUGGAGGGGGAUAACUACUGGAAACGGUAGCUAAUACCGCAUACCAUCAGAUGUGCCCAGAUGGGAUUAGCUAGUAGGUGGGGUAAUGGCUCACCUAGGCGACGAUCCCUAGCUGGUCUGAGAGGGUGACCGGCAAAACUGGAACUGAGACACGGUCCAGACUCCUACGGGAGGCAGCAGUGGGGAAUAUUUCACAAUGGGCGAAAGCCUGAUGCAGCCAUGCCGCGGGUGUGAAGAAGGCCUUCGGGUUGUAAAGCACGUUCAGCGAGGAGGCGUUACUCGCAGAGGAAGCACCGGCUAACUCCGUGCCAGCAGCCGCGGUAAUUC
rnacentral:rRNA from 1 species